AUGUUCGCCUGCACCAAGCUCGCCUGCACCCCCGCUCUGAUCUGAGCUGGAUCCAGAGUUGCAUACAGACCAAUUUCUGCAUCAGUGUUAUCUCGACCAGCGGCUAGGACUGGAGAGGGCUCUACGGUAUUUAAUGGGGCCCAGAAUGGUGUGUCUCAGCUAAUCCAAAGGGAGUUUCAGACCAGUGUAAAUAGCAGAGACACUGAUACUGCUGCCGAAUUUAGUGGUGCAGGUGCUGCAACAGUAGGAGCGGCUGGUUCUGGUGCUGGUAUUGGAACAGUCUUUGGCAGCCUUAUCAUUGGUUGUGCCAGAAACCCUUCACUGAAGCAGCAGCUGUUCUCAUAUGCUCUCCUGGGAUUUGCCUUGUCUGAAGCUAUGGGUCUCUUUUGUUUGAUGGUUGCUUUCUUGAUUUUGUUUGCCAUGUAACAAAUUACUGCUUGACAUGUUGGCAUUCUUAUUAAUUACAGAUGUAAUUCUGUGUAUCUUACUGUGACUCCGAAAACUGUAGUAUUGGUGUCAUGGAAAUGUACGUUAUUUCCAAAGUCAUUUCAUUAAAGAUGAAAACUU